rnacentral:lncRNA from 1 species
UUUUAUUAAAAAUAAUAAAUAAAAUAUUUUAGGAAACCCCAAAGAGAUUAAAGUGGAUCUACUGAAAUUGAAGGGAGUGGGGAGAAAGUGGACCCCAAUCAGUUCAAGUUACAAAGCGGUCCUCAAGAGAAGAAAAACAGCGUCAGAACAAGAGAGAGGAAGUGUAAUAUUGUGAUACAAGAAGAAAUAUAUAUUUGGUCUCUGUCCCCAUUUCUGGAGCUAAUAUUUGGUCUCUACCACAGUUCCUGACACAGAUCUCCUAAGACCUCUGUAAUUUCCUGAGUGGUAGGAGCUUCUGGCACAGAGGUCCAAAAUCCCUUGGAAUUUCUUGGGCGAUAGGAGCAUCUUCUGUUCUAAUGAGGUAACAGUUGGUGGAGGCUGGUCGCUAGGGGAACCAACAAUGUGAUUGGAGGGUUGGAACUUUCAGCCUCACUCCGUGACUUCCUGGAAGGGGAGAGGUACUGAGGUUGAGUCUAUCCCCAAUGGCCAAUGAUGUCAUCAAUCAUGCCUAAAUAAUGAAGCCUCCAUAAAAACUCAAAAGGAUGGGAUUUGGAGAACUUCUGGAAUGCUGAGCAUGUGGAGGUGCCUGGAGAGGGCAUGGAAGCUCCACAUGCCUGCCCACAUACUUUGCACUGUGCAUCCCUUCCAUCUGGCUGUUCAUCUCAUUGUGAGAACAAGCUCAUUCUUGUACCUUUCCUCCGUGGAUUUGGUGAUCACAACAAGGGACUUAUCCAUCAUUGGAGUGGCCACAAUCUGAACAAGUUCCACCCACUGCCUGAGAGUCCUGCCCUGAAUUUUAGACUUUGAUCAUAAAAAAAUGGAUAAUAUAAUUUAACAGUGAAUAAAUUAGAUAUCAAUGAAGUUGGCAUCAAAGCAAAAUGUACCCAUGUCGGUUGAAAUAUUGUGCUAAGUUGUCAGUGUACUAGCUUCCUUUCCAACCAAAUGGGUGCAGGAAAAGCUGCAUCUGGAAGAGUACAGGAUUCAAAGGAGAGGGUAGAGUUAGACACAGAGACCAUGAAACCUGACAUGAGUUCAAACCUUGGCUUUGCCACCAACUGUAUGACAUUAGGCAAGUCACCUAGCCUCCUUGUCCCCAUCUGAAAAAUGCACCGCAAGGAUAACGCCAGCAUAAGGGCCCUGCCAGGCAGCUGAGGACAUGGCGUGGCUUCCCCACCAGGCAUAUGUCAAGGUCAUAGGGGAAAGCAGAGGAAUCCCAGGUACCAAGCAGAAUCAGGAAGAAAGGGUCAGGU